UAGAGAAUAGUAUAAGGGAGUACAAGGGAUUUUGAGUCCCUAGGUGUAAGUUCGUAUCUUAUUUUUCUAA
rnacentral:tRNA from 1 species